rnacentral:tRNA from 2 species
GGUCGCAUAGUCUAGUGGUUAUGAUAUCUGCUUUACACGCAGAGGGUCUCAGGUUCGAUCCCUGAUGCGACCA